UAGUCCACGCCGUAAACGAUGUAUACUAGAUGCUGGAUCGCUUAAAGAUUCGGUGUCGGAGUUAACGCAUUAAGUAUACCGCCUGGGGAGUACGGUCGCAAGAUUAAAACUCAAAGGAAUUGACGGGGCCCGCACAAGCGGUGGAGCAUGUGGUUUAAUUCGAUGCAACGCGCAGAACCUUACCCAGCCUUGACAUCCUUCUGAUCGAUUCUAGAGAUAGAAUUUUCUUCUUCGGAAGCAGGAGUGACAGGUGCUGCAUGGCUGUCGUCAGCUCGUGUUGUGAGAUGUUGGGUUAAGUCCCGCAACGAGCGCAACCCUUGUCGUUAGUUGCCAUCAUUAAGUUGGGCACUCUAGCGAGACUGCCCGGGUUAACCGGGAGGAAGGCGGGGAUGACGUCAAGUCCUCAUGGCCCUUAUGGCUGGGGGCUACACACGUGCUACAAUGGGUCAAGACAAACUGAUGCGAAGUCGCGAGGGCUAAGCGAAUCAGAUAAACUUGAUCC
rnacentral:rRNA from 1 species